rnacentral:rRNA from 1 species
AACGAACGCUGGCGGCAUGCCUAACACAUGCAAGUCGAACGAAAGCUUCGGCCUUAGUGGCGCACGGGUGCGUAACGCGUGGGAAUCUGCCCUUGGGUUCGGAAUAACGUCGGGAAACUGACGCUAAUACCGGAUGAUGACGUCAGUCCAAAGAUUUAUCGCCCAAGGAUGAGCCCGCGUCGGAUUAGCUAGUUGGUGAGGUAAAAGCCCACCAAGGCGACGAUCCGUAGCUGGUCUGAGAGGAUGAUCAGCCACACUGGGACUGAGACACGGCCCAGACUCCUACGGGAGCAGCCAGUGGGGAAUAUUGGAAAAUGGGCGAAGGCCUGACCCACCAUGGCCGCGUGAGGGAUAAAGGCUUUAGGUUGGUAAGGCUCUUUUACCCGGGAUGAUAAGGCCGGUACCGGGAGAAUAAGCCCCGCUUAACUCCGG